UGCCCCCGUCCCGCCCUCCGCCGCCGCCGCCUCAGCCCGCUCCGGCCCGGGCGCUGCCCUGUCAUGGCGGGGGGGGGGGGUGACGGUGACGGUGGCGAUGGUGGUGGUGGGGCUCGUCCCCCACCGACCGCCGCUGCCGGAGGAGCCGCGCCGCGGCUUUGGCCUCUCGGGAGCCUCUCCUUUCGGCAACGCGAAGGAAAAUGUCCGCCCCCGCGCCGCCCCCAGCCACUCGCAGGUGGUCAGCUCUUCUGGUAAGUGCAUGGCAAUUCCCCCCUUGCAGAAGUAACAUCAGGUGAUGGCAGCUGUCAGCUCCUCUCCUGUCGCUGGAUAAAGGUUUCGUGCUUUGCCCGUUUGUCAGUCCUUGGGUGACUCGGGCCAUCGACAGAGUGCCAGUACAGGUUGCUGCGUUGGAGGGAUGGAGAGCAGGGUCUGUGCUUGUCCCUUGUCCCCACAAAGGUAGGAAGGAAGGAAAAACCAAAGGUAUUCAACUCUUCUUGAGGAAAAGCAGCAACAACCCUCAUGUGCCGAUGACGUCAGUGACAACAGGAUGGCAGUGGAGAUUCCUGAAGGCCACCACCUCGCAUUUAAACAGCAGAAAAGUGAAGACAUGAGGGAAAUUAAGACGGUCUUGAGAAGAGCUUUAUUUUGGACAGCAAAGGUUCAUCUCACAGACUUCUCAGAAACAGGUCUGCCAACCAUCAGGUAUGUAAUAGCCAAAACCAGUUACUGGUAAGAGGCAGCGGGAUGAAACCAAGAUGUACAGAGGGCAACCAAGCCUCAUGUGCCAUGUUAACUCUUAAAACAGUGGGAUAGAAGUAGGGUCUCCCCGCUGUGACAGCAGAACGCUUGCCCCUCCGCGCAACAAGCACGGUGGGAGGGACACCUAGGCUGUAACCCCUCUUCAGACAGGGCCGGUUUGCUGAAGCUCCGCAGGCUCGAUAGUCACGUGAAAUCCUGUAAGCCAUCACCUCCACGCCACGCCACUGUUUCAAAAGGCAUUUAUUCAUUUCUAACAACUCCCCAGCACAUUCUGCUCUUCACGUGUCAGGACUUUGGGUCUGCACCAUCAUUCCUACACCAAGAUUAGUGUUCUGAGAGUCUUAAUCCCCACUAAAACCAACUGGAAGAGUGACAGUUUGCCAGGGCAGGGAUGGCACUAACCAAGGUUUCUGUCAUUUGAAGUUGCCGUUACCUUGACCGAAUUCACCACCACACAAGCUGGCUUUGCACCGGAGGAACAGACGCAGAUCGUGGCCCUUUGCACUGAAGGGACAUCUGCACACGUGCAUGUGGAGAAACUUUCGAGAACCAAAGUGGCUCUAUAGAGAAGGACAGGCGAGUGACCAGAUCAUGGUGAUGGACGUGUGUUUGCAAAACUGCUGCACUUACCAGAGACCUGAAAGCCACAAAUACAGCCCCAGGCACUCCAAGGGGAUGCAUCGGUGACAGCGGGACCGGUGCUUUCUCUCCCCCUACCGCUUCGCCAAGGAAAACAGCGUGGUGGAAAUAACAGAUGACCCCGAUGACUCUCACUGUAAGAAGAGUCAAGUCCUCCCCUUGGCAUGAAAGGCAGAGAGGAGCAGCUACCAGGGAAGUGCUGGAGACACGACUGCAUGGGAGUCAAGGGUAAUGAGGAAGGCACAGAGAAGAUCAAAUAUCCCUAGCUCUAGAUGAUGAAGUAUUUUAAAAGUACCCAUUGAUACUGCUCACCUUUAUAUCUUGCACAAAUAUAGAUGCUCUAUAAAUUGUAUCCUGUCCCCAAAUUCCUCCUAACUUCCUGGCCCGGCAUUACCUCCAAGCAAUUUUAGUUCCUUCUAUGAAAAAGCAGCAAUGCAGCCCCGUCACUGUGAACUUCCCCUGUUUUACACACUAAACUCAUUACCCUGCAUCGCUUCGAUACAGUAUUAUCUGAAUGUAUACAUUAAAAUCCCUGAACCGACUGGAUCCUGUGUAGUCUAUCGCAGGAAUACAUAUCUGAGCUCUGGGUAACAUUGCCAUAUGCAGUGGAGGGAACCUUCCAUAUGGUUUCUGGAAAGUGGUUACAGCACACGUGCACCAGGCACUUUUCAAAGUAAAACAGAUCUGUUCAUUUUUAUUUUCAAAAUACCAAAGCAGUAAAAUCAUGUAAUUGAGUAAUCACUUGCCAAAUUUCCUUUUUUAAUCUAAUCUAUUUUGAGUUACAUCAGAGCCAAAAUGCAAAUUAAACUGGUAAGGUUCCAAGAUUUUUUUUCCCUUUUAGAAAACACAAUUUAAGGUCCUCAUAAGUAAGGAAAUUUAAAAACCAUUUGUUUUGUAUGCUGUAAACUCCAGAAAACAAGUUUCAGCCUGAAGUACAUUUUCAUAGGCAAUAGGUUAAAUAGAAGUCUUAUGUAAAUUUUGAUCUCUUCUUAACAACUCCAAUGUUCAUUUUAUAAAAUUUGAUUUGAAAAUAAUGCCAUUGUUUUAAAAGAGCCUCAAAGGGUCAGAAACUAGGCAAAAAAAGUAUCCACUCUAACGAGGCACACGUACAGUCUUUCAGCUCUAACUACAGUAUCAAAAAAGGAGAGAUUCCUGAGAUUGCUCAUUUGCAGUCUCCAUCAAUCAAUUUUUGAGGGGCGUGCUCUUGCAGCAGCAUUAAAAGCCAAACUCACUUGCCAGCCUGGGCAAACUCAUCAGCACUUGACCACAAGGUGAGACAAGUCAUGGCCAUCCUACCAUAGCCUCACGAAGUCACCCAUCUCAGCAGAUUACCA